rnacentral:rRNA from 1 species
UACGAAGGGGGCUAGCGUUGCUCGGAAUCACUGGGCGUAAAGGGCGCGUAGGCGGGAUGGCAAGUCGGUCGUGAAAUCCUUCGGCUCAACCGAAGAACGUCGGCCGAUACUGCCGUUCUUGAGGGAUGCAGAGGAGAUUGGAAUUCCCGGUGUAGCGGUGAAAUGUGUAGAGAUCGGGAGGAACACCGGUGGCGAAGGCAGCUCGCUGGGACGUAACUGACGCUGAGACGCGAAAGCGUGGGGAGCAAACAGG